GGUAGGUACCUACUUGGAUUUGAUGCAAAUCUGGAAUUGAAAAUAUUUCUUUAAUUUCAGUGUCUUUAGGAUAGGGUCUGGUGGUUGCCCAGAUUUCACGCUGGUUCUGCUGAGCUCACUGCAGUUACAGUUGUUGCCAUUGACAUGACUGAGACCACUGAUUUCAGGUCUGGAGGAGGCAUUUUGCAUUGCAGUAGCUGGAAACCAUUUUUGUGGAGCAGCCAUGCCCAGCUGGACACAAUCUGGGACCUAACAGGGAUUAGAAGCACUUUGUACCAUUGCACUUUCACGUGCUCCACAAGGCUUAUCAACUUGCUCGAUGAACACCUGGGAGUACAUUAUGGUCAUUCCAAUAGGUUGCUGACUUUUUCAUUAAAUUAAUCCCAACGUUGCCUCUGGAACCUUAAUCUGGCCUCCUUGCACACCUAUGUCAUCUAAAAGCCUUUAAUUACAGCCACAUGCUGUCUUUAACCACUAGCCUUUGUUUCACCCAGUGCACAGAAUGGACAAUACUCACUUAAUGAGCAACUAGACAGUAUUUAUUUUUUGCUUGCUGCUUAGCACGUGGCCCCAUUCUUUGUUUACCACAUGCUUCUCAAACCCUGCUAUGAAAACCUAAUGAUUAAAUCCCUUGUUGGCUGCUUCUGUCCUGCCCAUCGUUUGAUUGUUUCAUGAACAUAAACGGCAUUUAUUUCCCUAACUCUAUGGCAUACUUAUUAUUUGGUGAGAGUGUGUGGUACAACAAAGUUGAAUAAAUACUGAAAAUGAGAGAAACAAGCAUGAAAGGAAAAAUUGUCCAUGACAGGGCCACACAUGAACUGCUGAAUAUUUUCAGGUUAGAAGAGUGUGGUCUAGAAGACAUCCUCAACCAGUCUACCUGAAAAGGGCUGCUACUUUAUGUAUGUGACAUCCUGACCAGUCACAGCUCUAAUUCUUCUUAUGUAGUGGGUAGCUCAACAGAAAAUUUGUUAAGUGCAUACAAAUAUAUACAUAUAACACACGGGAGAUUCAAGAGAAAAAUAUCACACAAAAUAAUAAUAAAAAAAUCUUAGAGCACUGAAGCCUACAGUUUUACUGCAAAAUCUCCAUACUAGCUUCAUGACCAAAAUCAGGGGCCAACAGAUGGGAACUUGUGUCAUUCUCCAGUGUGCCCCCUUUUGCAGUUAAGAGUUGUCACAUGCUCAUCCCUGCAAGCUUAAGGACAGCCACUGAAAUCUUCACUGAUGGCUACUGCACAGACACAUUUUCAUUUGUUGUCAUUACCACACUGGUGUAAAAGCCAAGAAACACAGCUCUCGUGAAUUGGUGGCCUCAUCUCCUCCACACGCUAACAUGGGCACUCCUCAGCAUUAGAGAGCUGUAUUUUUCAGGUCACUAUUAAUACAGAAUGACAAAGGAAAGUAUUAACAAGGGUUACAAAUUUCUCAUUGGGAUGGAUGCCUCAAGAAAGAGGUCAGCUGCACUGUGACACCAAAUACUAGAAAGAAUUAGGGCUGCUGCCACUGGGAUUUUCCCAAACAGAAUACAAACAUAUGUGGCAGCACAGCAAAGAUGAUUUUGAAAUUUCUCGGACAUCUCAAAUUUUCUGGAAGGCUGCAACAAACUCUCUAUUUCCUAGAGGUGUCAGAGGCAUCAUGUAUACUGCAUUGCUGACCUGCCCAUGUGCUGGUUAUAGCUAACUUUGACCACAAGAGAUGUUUUAUCUCAAAUCAGUGCAUGUUUGCUCAUGUUAAUCCAGUUUCCUAACCAUAAUUCUACUUAUCUCCUCAAACGCAUGUUAUAAUUUGCUUUCAAUAAAUGCUUCUCCACUUCUGUGGAAAGCUAAGAGGGAUGCUUUGCUUCUAGAAAGGAGGACGCUUUCCAUGAAGGAAUUGCAGUGAAUUGCUUGAGGAAGCCAUUGGCUUGCCAACUGGCUCACCAACCUGAGGAUUUCAAAAGGGAAAGAGAAAUGGAUUCCUCCUCCUCUUCCUUUUCUUUACUAAGACUGAAAAAAGAAACUUCUAACCAUAAUGAGACAUUGAUUUUAAGUAAUUCUCCAGUUUUUUCAGUUGUAAGAGCUACCGAACUAGCAGGGACUUAGUAAAAUAAUUCUGUUUCUCCAGGUACCACUUGUGUGAUAAAAGAAUAGAGUAAAACUGAGAUUAAUUUGCUGUGAAUGCUGGUGCACUAGACCAUGCGGUUGUGUGUAAGUAGAAAGCUGCAUGUGACAUGAAGAUUACAAGCUAUUUUUUAUUGUCAAACUCAAUCCUUCAUUCAAAUGAAUACACUGUCAGAACCCUAAUUAUUUCUGUUAGAAAUGCUGCAGCUUGUUAAAAAAGGGACAUGAAGUCUUUCUCUGCAAAUUCUUGAUCAUUGCAUUACAAUUCCAAGCCAUUUGUGAAAUAUUCCAUCAUUUAAUUUACAGCCUGUUCUUCUCUGUGUGGGUUCUGAUUACAGAAUCAUCAAUCAUUAUACGGUAUUAGCCCUGUGAUGAACCAUGCACUGCUUUUUUUUUUUUUUUAGCUCUGGCCCCAAAAUAAUGCCAUUAGUUUCUUCCUCAUUAUCUUCUGUUUUUUGUAAAUGCUGACAGGCAAAAUGGAAAAUUUUGCCUUUUAUUCAGUCAUCUUGGUUUUUUUGAGUAGUGGGAAUUGUGGGCACAUUCAAUAGCAAUCCUUCUGGCUUUACCCAGCGCUACCAAGAUUCGUGGACAGGUUUUAAAAUUCUUCAUUGGUGAGCAAAUGUUCUCUGCAUGCAUUGGAAGCUACUUCCCUGACAGUAACUCUGAAUGGAAUUCAAGUAUGAUCAAUGGAAAAAUUGCAAUAGCCCUAGCCCCUGUUGGUACACACCCCCACAAAAAAAUUUAGCACAAUUAUCCUUUGAGGGAACAAAUAUACCAAAAUAAUAAUAUCUCUUGCCAUUGCCAGUACCUUCAGGCCAGGUCAGCUUGCCAGAAUCAAGGUGGGUGGAGCGUAAUUAGAACUCAAGGACUAUAGAUCUGUAUUUUUCACCUGGGAUGGAAAUGCUGACAGCUGAAAGAUGUUCUAGCUACUAUGUGACCUAUGCUGGAAGCUAUGUAAAUCUACCAGGUGGUGUGAUCCUAUUGGAGCACAGCCCAGAACAAGCAUGAGGAAAUGCUGGGUCUGGUAGGAAGACCUGGAGAUGGCUCUUCAGGGUAAUGCUGCAGGAAAAUGCCUAUUUGAGUACCAAACUAAGCCAGGUUUAUAACACUUUAUAAUGAUAUCAUUAUAAAUCCCACUGAGCAAGAUUUGCCCCAUUCCUGGAAACAUUCAAGGCCACGUUGGACUCGAUUCUGAGCAACCUGAUCUAGUUGCAGAUGUCCCUACUCACUGCAAGAGGGGUGGACUAGCUGACCUUUAAAGUUCCCUUCUAAUCCAAACCACUCCAUGAUUCUAUGACAGCACAUCCUACUUAGCACAUCCCUGGGCAAGCAAUGAUACAGGGGCAAACUCACAUUGCUGUGCGGCAGUUCAGACUGCCUGUAGUGAAACAUUGCCCUAGAUUUAACAGCCCAAGGCUAUGGGAUCUUUCCUGCCCAACAUCAAGAGCACUGGGUAGAAGUGAUCAGUGGCUGAUCUGGCACUUGGAGCAAGAGAAGAAGUGACAGCAAUUCUCGCAGGCAGACUGCUACCAGUGAUGAUGUUCUUCAUGCCUUAUUGCUGUGAGUGUAGCACAACACUUGACACAGCUUUCUUGCAAGGUUAUUAUGCCACCACCUCUGGUUUUGUGCUGCUGAUGUCAGAGUCUGUGUUACGUACAGAAGUGAAAGCCUGGACUGAUCUACUGGAUCCAUCAGCGGGAAAUUGUACCUCAGAGACAUUAUAGCCUUUGGAAUGCAGGUGACAAUAGUGGUGAUGCUCUGCUCUAGGUGAAGUAAGAGAAAUACACAAAUGGAAGAUCUUUUCAUACCUAGACCAUCAUACCAUACCGUACCAUACCAUCACUACCCAUUAGAAAAUCUCACCUGUGUGGCUGUUCUGUGAGUAACUCGAAGUUGAGGCAUGUAUCUGGAGUAGGAAGAUUAUUUUGUUAUGUUACAGUGGAACAGAGAAACCUUUUCAAGAAAACAACACCAAACAGAUGAUUUGAAAGGAAAAUUAUCCCAGUUUAAGAAGAAAACUUGGCAUGAAUACUUGUCAGAUUUAACAGGUAAAUGAGGGCUGUAUACGUUACCUGCUAACAGGUUAAGAGGUUAAUGGAGACAUUGGCAUGAAAAAAUAAAAGGGGCUGCUGAUCUGACGUUACCUGAGGUUUUACUGUUGCCCAUUCUCUAAUUCUCAUGGCCAAAUGAGACAUAUGGCUGCAUCAGGACAUGUAACUGGGACUCCGCUAUUUUAAGACUACCAGCCUCUUCCUGCUCAAUAGAAGAACAAUUUCUGUUAAUCUUGCCUUGGGAGAGAAAGGUUUAUUUGUUUCUACCACAAACAGGGAGAUAAUACAUAGACAUUUGCAAUAUAUUAAGCCAAACUAAAACCAAAGGGGUGGGUUGCAUUCAAGGAUUAAAACAACAAACAGACAUGUUUAUGUAUCUCAAAGAAGCAACAUAAGAAGAAAGAGAAAUUCUUAAUUUAAACCCUUUUGAAUGAGAUGGAGAAUCGAACAGCAAUGGAAAGCAGAACUAUUAAGGUAUUAUCCAUUCAAAGGCAGGAACACACAUGAAAAUGACUACUAAAUCCAUUGUCACAAAUGCCUUUGAGAUCAGUGAA